rnacentral:antisense_RNA from 1 species
UGUGACGGCAGGUCGUGCAGGAAGGCCCCCGGGCCUAUCCGGUUACACGUCACCGGAGCCCCGAGCUUGCACGGCCUGCCACCCUU